GACGAACGCUGGCGGCGUGCCUAAUACAUGCAAGUCGAACGAGAGCGACCGGUGCUUGCACUGGUCAAUCUAGUGGCGAACGGGUGAGUAACACGUGGGUAACCUGCCCAUCAGAGGGGGAUAACAUCCGGAAACGGAUGCUAAAACCGCAUAGGUCUUCGAGCCGCAUGGCUUGAAGAGGAAAAGAGGCACAAGCUUCUGCUGAUGGAUGGACCCGCGGUGCAUUAGCUAGUUGGUGAGGUAACGGCUCACCAAGGCCGUGAUGCAUAGCCGACCUGAGAGGGUGAUCGGCCACAUUGGGACUGAGACACGGCCCAAACUCCUACGGGAGGCAGCAGUAGGGAAUCUUCCGCAAUGGACGCAAGUCUGACGGAGCAACGCCGCGUGAGUGAAGAAGGUUUUCGGAUUGUAAAACUCUGUUGUUAGAGAAGAACAAGUGCUAGAGUAACUGUUAGCGCCUUGACGGUAUCUAACCAGAAAGCCACGGCUAACUACGUGCCAGCAGCCGCGGUAAUACGUAGGUGGCAAGCGUUGUCCGGAUUUAUUGGGCGUAAAGCGAGCGCAGGCGGUUCCUUAAGUCUGAUGUGAAAGCCCCCGGCUCAACCGGGGAGGGUCAUUGGAAACUGGGGAACUUGAGUGCAGAAGAGGAGAGUGGAAUUCCAUGUGUAGCGGUGAAAUGCGUAGAUAUAUGGAGGAACACCAGUGGCGAAGGCGACUCUCUGGUCUGUAACUGACGCUGAGGCUCGAAAGCGUGGGUAGCAAACAGG
rnacentral:rRNA from 1 species